rnacentral:lncRNA from 1 species
AUUAUAAAAAAAUCUCAAUAGAAAUCUCAAUAGAAAUCUCAAAGUUAUAUCAAAUAAAUAUUUUUAAAAUAUUAAAAAAAGAAAUCCUAAAUAAAUCCUUAUCAAAUCUUAAUAUAAUCUUAAAAAAUUCUAAUAUAACUUUAAACCAAUCUAAUCAAAUUCUAAUCAAUUUCUAAAUCCUAAAUCAAAUGAUAAUCAAAUCUUAAAUCUUAAAUCAAAUCCUAAACAAAUCCUAAUCAAAUUUUAAAUCCUAAACUAUAAACUAAAUCCUAAUUAAAUCUUAAAAUAAACUCUAAAAAAAACCUAAUUAAAUCCUAAACCAAAUC